rnacentral:lncRNA from 1 species
GGCUCACGACGCCGAGAACGCUGUCUAAUGUCAAGGGGAAGAGGACUAGCAUACCUCGGGCCAACCGAGGAGCCUUCAUUCGACAGCGUCUCGCUCCUCUUGGUACAAAUCAGCAAUUUGUCUUUUGAAAGAGAUACCGCCCGUUUGUCUCUUGAAUGCCCAUCGGUAGAAUCCCCCUGACGAACAUAUUCUAGUGAAUAGCGUCUUCUGUUCGACCACCACCUACAGUCAAACGGUAUCGCGAAGAAGUGGUGACGAGGUCGGAACAGAUGAUGUGCCCAAAAUCCAGAUUCGGGUUGUAUAUAGGUUGUGCUCGUGGUUCUUUCCUGAAUCGUGUGCUCGGAGCAUGGCCGCUUUCACUGAGUGGGGACACCUUUACAUCCUUCCACACGUCCCUUUAUUCUAUUAAAUUGGCUAUACGAUGAUAGCCAACCUAAAGCAUCACAUUCACCCAGAUUUACAUAAACUACCUUUUUCUGGGGAGUAUAUACUACGAGUCUGACUACUUGUUCAGAUCUUGCUGACCUCUGCUCACGGCAGGGGGAUGAACAUUCAGUGGUUGAACUGGAAACAGCUUCACGUGCACAGAUGCUCGUGGCCUGGCGGACGUCGUACCACCCUGGGGCGAACUGCAACGUACCAUAUCUAAAUACGAGGACUGGAGGCGACAACAGAGGAUUUUUUCCACCACCGCAACUUCCCUGUGACAAAAGUUGGCAGCAAACGGCGGAAAAACUCCGAAAAAAUGCCGGUGGACUAAUCGCUCAGUGGAUUGUCAGAUUCAUCUGUGACCUACGAAUGAUGCACCGCCCCUAAUGAUUGCCUCACCGGCGACGUGGCGCCUGAGUAAAAGGCGAGAAUUGCCAGGGUUUGUCUUGAUUUCAAGUGUCCAUCGCCUACCACUGUUUCCACCGACAUGCGGGACCCUACCUACUCAGCACAUCUCUACAAUGUCUCUUUAUCGGCAAGAAUCUCCAACCCAUAACUCUCUGUUUUUUUGACGGCCCGGCACUGCCCUACGCGAAAUGUGCUUUGUCGCGGCAGUUGCGGGGUCUCCCCGGUUGCCCAGAUGCCAGAGUAGGCCGAGAGGCAGUGGCCAGCAACGUUGUAGACUACCAAGCAUCGAUCGCGACUUCCCUCACAAAUCUGUUAGUCCUGAAGCCCUUACAGGAA